UGAACGCUGGCGGCGUGCCUAAUACAUGCAAGUCGAGCGAACGGACGAGAAGCUUGCUUCUCUGAUGUUAGCGGCGGACGGGUGAGUAACACGUGGAUAACCUACCUAUAAGACUGGGAUAACUUCGGGAAACCGGAGCUAAUACCGGAUGAUAUUUUGAACCGCAUGGUUCAAAAGUGAAAGACGGUCUUGCUGUCACUUAUAGAUGGAUCCGCGCUGCAUUAGCUAGUUGGUAAGGUAACGGCUUACCAAGGCAACGAUGCAUAGCCGACCUGAGAGGGUGAUCGGCCACACUGGAACUGAGACACGGUCCAGACUCCUACGGGAGGCAGCAGUAGGGAAUCUUCCGCAAUGGGCGAAAGCCUGACGGAGCAACGCCGCGUGAGUGAUGAAGGUCUUCGGAUCGUAAAACUCUGGUAUUAGGGAAGAACAUAUGUGUAAGUAACUGUGCACAUCUUGACGGUACCUAAUCAGAAAGCCACGGCUAACUACGUG
rnacentral:rRNA from 1 species